AACCCUUAUCCAUUAGUUGCUACGCAAGGGCACUCUAAUGAGACUGCCGGUGACAACCGGAGGAAGGUGGGGAUGACGUCAAGUCCUCAUGGCCCUUAUGGGUAGGGCUUCACACGGUCAUACAAUGGUCGGUACAGAGGGUUGCUAAGCCGCGAGGUGGAGCCAAUCCCACAAAGCCGAUCGUAGUCCGGAUUGUUCUCUGCAACUCGAGAGCAUGAAGUCGGAAUCGCUAGUAAUCGCAGGUCAGCAUACUGCGGUGAAUACGUUCCCGGGUCCUU
rnacentral:rRNA from 1 species